AUGGGUUAAUAAUUGUAAUGAAUCCGACAUGGUUACUGGCAAGUAACCAGGGGAGGGGCACAUACCUCGUCCUCAAGCUGCAAGAGGUCCAAAAAUCAAAGCACAUACCUCAUCCUCAAGCUGCAAACUAAAUUUAAACAAAUCUGCAUUCAGUAUAUAAGCAAAAAAAUCAAUGGAACACUUUUGAAACAAAAGAAUGAUGGUAGACUAAUAGGAACCUAUUCCUAGAUUUUGUACCAACCUAUGAUUUAUAAGGGAGGAUUAGUAGAAUCAUACAACUUUUGAUCUUUUACCAUUCAUUCAUCUCACAAGCGAGCACAUGAAAACCCAAUUGGCUAGAACUAUCAGGCAACAUAGCAGUCCAAAAGCUUGACACAUUACCUGCAGAAAAGGUUGUGGCACAUUGUGUGAACAAUCUGGCAGCAGACUGGAAAAUAUCAUGAUAAAAGAUCCAAUAAAGUUGUGGAAUUGUCAACAUCAAGGCUCCUUUAAUAUGCUAGACAAAGAACUCGAGCACCUUUUGGUCAAGAAGGAAACAUGCUACAUUUAAACUCUAUCCAAAAGUAAUAUUUCACAUGUUAUUCUGCUAAAAAUUAACUUGAUCCAUAUAACUUGUGAAGUGUAGACAAAGCUUGCAGUAGUGACUAAUUCCAUACCUGAGACAUCCAGAAAGCAUAUGCUUGCGUUCUAAUGUUCUAUGUAUUGGAAAUAGAAUGUGUGGAGACAUCUUCAAGAAUCUGAAUGCUUGUUCGGGAGUAGUCCUACAUAUUACAGAACAGCCUCAUGCUAACGCAACUCUGCUGGAGGCAUGAUCGCCAUAAAACACAAAACAUAGAAACGAUCUGUGCAGUAGCCCAAACACACACACAGUCAAAUCGACUAAAGGCAAACGGAAACUCACCUAGGGAUUAAGGUUCCUGACCAUCUGCCUGCCUACGGCGAGGGAGGAGCGAGUAGAUCGCAGUGCUGCCAUGCUUGCAGUGGGACGGACUCGGCGACGAGCAGUUCUCUCAGGCGUGCGAGGAAUGACGCCGAAAAUAGUUGCCGCCGUUCGGCUGGGACCUUGGCAUGGGGUGCGUCAACGAUGCUAGGAGGAAGGGGGAAGCCACAGCGCGGUGGCACUGGAGGGAGGGAGGAGGCGGCGGGAGAAGAUGGCCAUCCUUGCAGGCGCGGGGAGAGGGACGGCGCAAGGAGGGGAAGGGAGGAGCGGCGACGUAUGAUCUGUCCUUCUCGAUCAGGACUCUCAGGUGAAGUCGAUCCACA
rnacentral:lncRNA from 1 species